GGAAUAUUGGACAAUGGGGGAAACCCUGAUCCAGCCAUGCCGCGUGUGUGAAGAAGGCCUUUUGGUUGUAAAGCACUUUAAGCAGUGAAGAAGACUCCUCGGUUAAUACCCGUGGACGAUGACAUUAGCUGCAGAAUAAGCACCGGCUAACUCUGUGCCAGCAGCCGCGGUAAUACAGAGGGUGCAAGCGUUAAUCGGAAUUACUGGGCGUAAAGGGAGCGUAGGUGGCUCGAUAAGUCAGAUGUGAAAUCCCCGGGCUCAACCUGGGAACUGCAUCUGAUACUGUUGAGCUAGAGUAUGUGAGAGGAAGGUAGAAUUCCAGGUGUAGCGGUGAAAUGCGUAGAGAUCUGGAGGAAUACCGAUGGCGAAGGCAGCCUUCUGGCAUAAUACUGACACUGAGGCUCGAAAGCGUGGGUAGCAAACAGGAUUAGAUACCCUUG
rnacentral:rRNA from 1 species